rnacentral:piRNA from 1 species
CUCGAACUCCUGACCUCAGGUGAUCUGCCU